rnacentral:rRNA from 1 species
CCUACGGGUGGCAGCAGUCGAGAAUCUUUCACAAUGGGGGCAACCCUGAUGGUGCGACGCCGCGUGGGGGAAUGAAGUUCUUGGGAUUGUAAACCCCUGUCAUGUUGGAGCAAAUUAAAAAGAUAGUACCACAAGCAGAAGAGACGGCUCAAUCUGUGCCAGCAGCCGCGGGAAUGCAGAGGUCUCAAGCGUUGUUCGGAAUCACUGGGCGUAAAGCGUACGUAAGCUGUUUCGUGCGUCGUGUGUGAAAGGCGCGGGCGUAACCCGCGGACGGCACAUGAUACUGCGAGACUAGAGUGAUGGAGGGGGAAGCGGAAUUCCAGGUGUAGCAGUGAAAUGCGUAGAUAGCUGGAGGAACACUCGAGGCGAAGGCGGGUUCCUGGACAUUAACUGACGCUGAGGCACGAAGGCCUGGGGAGCGAAAGGGAUUAGAUACCCUUGUAGUC